GAUUGAACGCUGGCGGCAGCCUAACACAUGCAAGUCGAGCGGUAGCACAGGAGAGCUUGCUCUCCGGGUGACGAGCGGCGGACGGGUGAGUAAUGUCUGGGAAACUGCCUGAUGGAGGGGGAUAACUACUGGAAACGGUAGCUAAUACCGCAUAACGUCGCAAGACCAAAGUGGGGGACCUUCGGGCCUCAUGCCAUCAGAUGUGCCCAGAUGGGAUUAGCUAGUAGGUGGGGUAAUGGCUCACCUAGGCGACGAUCCCUAGCUGGUCUGAGAGGAUGACCAGCCACACUGGAACUGAGACACGGUCCAGACUCCUACGGGAGGCAGCAGUGGGGAAUAUUGCACAAUGGGCGCAAGCCUGAUGCAGCCAUGCCGCGUGUAUGAAGAAGGCCUUCGGGUUGUAAAGUACUUUCAGCGAGGAGGAAGGCAUUAAGGUUAAUAACCUUAGUGAUUGACGUUACUCGCAGAAGAAGCACCGGCUAACUCCGUGCCAGCAGCCGCGGUAAUACGGAGGGUGCAAGCGUUAAUCGGAAUUACUGGGCGUAAAGCGCACGCAGGCGGUUUGUUAAGUCAGAUGUGAAAUCCCCGGGCUCAACCUGGGAACUGCAUUUGAAACUGGCAAGCUUGAGUCUUGUAGAGGGGGGUAGAAUUCCAGGUGUAGCGGUGAAAUGCGUAGAGAUCUGGAGGAAUACCGGUGGCGAAGGCGGCCCCCUGGACAAAGACUGACGCUCAG
rnacentral:rRNA from 1 species